UUACCCAACAACACACGCCAACUAAAAACAAGAAAACCCUAAAAGUUCAGCGUUCAUCUUCUCGAUCGAACCCUAAAAGCUAAGGCGCCGUCAGCUUCAUCUUCUCGAUCGAACCCAGCCUUAGCGUCGUUCAUCCAUCUUCGAUCGAACCCAGCCUUGUCUUGUGAAAGUGCAUAUCCCUCCGUUGGCAUUCACUCUCGCUCGCAAGGCCUCCAUCGGCGCUCGCUCUCUCUCUCGCUCAAACCUUACCUCCGUCGACACUGGCUCAAUCGUCGCUGCCUCUCCCUCAAUCGUCAUUCCUCCCUCAAUCGGCGCUCAACCCUCAUCGUAACACAAGAAGAACAAGGAAAUGUUGCCGGAGAACUUCAAAGAACAGCUUGCUUUGUCUGUGAGAAGCAUCCAGUGGAGCUAUGCAAUAUUCUGGUCUACUUCAUCUACCCAACCCGUUGCCCAUUUAGCAGGGUCUUGAGUUGGGGGGAAGGAUAUUACAAUGGAGACAUUAAGACAAGAAAGACAGAUCAAGGAGUGGAACUCAAUUCUGAUCAGAUAGGGUUGCACGGAGUGAGCAGCUUCGAGAGUUAUACAAGUCCCUCAAAGCUGUAGAAGCCAGCCCUCAAACCAAAAGGCCUUCAGCAGCACUGUCUCCGAAGGAUCUCACAGAUACAGAAUGGCUAUAAGGGUUGCUGCCAUGAACUGUAUUGAUAGGCUAAGCAUUGGGGGUCGUAUUGCAUGUUCUGGUAAGAAAAAUGGUACUUAACUGUCAGAACAAUUGGACUUAGCCAUUACUUCUUAAUUAAUAUUACCUUGAUAUAAGAUUUUCUAAACAGGAAACAAAUGUCUUAAUUGAUGGUUUCUAUACUUGUCAAAAUGUUUCUAUAACAAAUGCUUGUUAUGCAUGCUUUAGUUUGUUGAAGGGGUGCAUGGGUAUUAUUAAAGCUCAUUCUUCAUCUUAUACAGUAAAAAGAGGUAAAUAAAACUGCAACUGUGAUUAAUUGUUUGUAAAAAUUUUGAUUCCUCUGUUUCCUGAGAAUUUGAGCUGUUUCCUGAGAAUUCGAGCAUGGUUUUGAUUCCUCUAUUUGUUUAGCAAAUGUCCUUGAACUGAUCUGAACUUUAAUCUGAAAUUUUAACACUUAUUUUUACAUUUUAUUAGUUCAGCCUUAAGUUUGGGCUGAACAUUCUACAGGGCAUUGAAGGUGAAAACAAGAAUUCAAAGAAAUCGCUGAAGUAGGACAAUAAUUGGAGGCAGAGUUCAUAUGGCCGUUCAAGUUCCUCUUCGUCUUCCUGGAAUUCAUAUCCUCAGCCAGCUUAUGGUCAAGGGGGUCAUGCCUAUGAGCCACAACCAACUCCUUAUCCGACGGUGCAACCCUAUUAUGCUCCUCCUCCUCCUACUACUCAAAACUGUGGCCAUGAACAAUCUUAUACUAGCGGUGAAGUCACCCGCCCCGACAAUAGAAGGAAGUUAGAGAGGAAGUAUUCGAGAAUUGCUGAUAAUUACAAUUUCAUAGAUGAGGUGACUGAGGCUCUUGCAUGGGCAGGCCUUGAGUCUUCUAAUCUUAUUCUUGGUAUCGAUUUUACUAAGAGCAAUGAAUGGACAGGAAAGAAUUCAUUUAAUCGAAAAAGCUUGCAUCACACUGGAAAUGUUCCAAAUCCAUAUGAACAAGCAAUAUCUAUUCUUGGGAAAACAUUGCUGCAUUUGAUGAGGAUAACUUGAUUCCUUGUUUUGGAUUUGGAGAUGCAUCAAUACAUGAUCAAGAUGUCUUCAGCUUCUAUCCAGAUGACGGGUUUUGCAAUGGUUUUGAGGAAGUGUUGAGUCGGUACAGGGAAAUUGUUCCUCAUAUUUGACUUGCAGGUCCCACUUCGUUUGCACCAAUUGUUGAAAUGGCCAUAACAAUUGUUGAGCAGAGUGGAGGCCAAUACCAACGUGGAAUUCUUUUUUUCAUUUUAUUUUAUUUUUCUGCUGAGUAGCAAAUAGUGGUUAUUGAAUAAUGUCUAGCAAUUUCUUUUUGAGGAACUGGACUUAUUUGUGGAAUAAUGUCUAAAGCAUAUUGGUGUGCAUCAAAAUUAUUCCCUUCCUAUUGAUAUAUGCAAUUUCUUCUUUCUUAUUUUAUAUAUUGUCUCAAUAAUAAAAAUACAAAUAUAAAGGCAUACAUACACUGUGAUUUAAAAUUAUAUAUGAAUUUUAAUUUGCAAGGUUUUAUUAGGAAGAUUAGAAAAGAAGAAUAGUUUAUUGAAUAAACUUAUAGCCACACUUAAAAAGGGUGGCCAUAUUGUAUAGUUGAGUUAACGGCCACGUUCAAAAAACGUGGCAAUAACUGAAAAAAACCCCUAUUGGCACGCUUAUUAAGCAUAGCAAUAGCUUUUUCUAUCGGCACGUUUCAAAAGCGUAGCCAUAUCUUCACCUAUCGGCACAUUUUUGAAGGGUAGCCAAAGCCAAACUAAUGAGCACGCUUUUAAAGCGUGGUGAUACGUCCAUUUUUUGGCACGCUUUUAAAGCGUGGCCAUAGGAUAAUACAUAUGGCCAUGUUUUUAAGCGUGACAAUAGAAAAAAAACGUGGCAAAAAAUAAAGCGUGCCAAUAGAUUGACAAAAGCGUGGUGAUAGAACAACCGACACCCUGGCAGAUGUGACUCUUUUAAAAGCGUGCCGAUAGCUCAAAAAGCUUGGUAAAAAGCUAUUGAUACACUUUUUUUGCACUUUUCGGUACGCUUUAAAAGCGUGGCAA